GUCGAGGGGCAGCGGGGAGCGAAGCUUGCUUUGCUCCGCCGGCGACCGGCGCACGGGUGAGUAACACGUAUGCAACCUGCCCCUGUCUGUGGGAUAAUCGGAAGAAAUUCCGUCUAAUACCGCAUAACGCCCUAAGAGGACAUCCUCUUAGGGCCAAAGGAGCGAUCCGGACAGGGAUGGGCAUGCGGCGCAUUAGGCAGUUGGCGGUGUAACGGACCACCAAGCCGACGAUGCGUAGGGGUUCUGAGAGGAAGGUCCCCCACACUGGUACUGAGACACGGACCAGACUCCUACGGGAGGCAGCAGUGAGGAAUAUUGGUCAAUGGGCGGGAGCCUGAACCAGCCAAGUCGCGUGAGGGAAGACGGCUCUAUGGGUUGUAAACCUCUUUUGCCGGGGAGCAAGAGGCGCCACGCGUGGCGCCGUGAGAGUACCCGGAGAAAAAGCAUCGGCUAACUCCGUGCCAGCAGCCGCGGUAAUACGGAGGAUGCGAGCGUUAUCCGGAUUUAUUGGGUUUAAAGGGUGCGUAGGCGGGCUGUUAAGUCAGCGGUAAAAUUGCGGGGCUCAACCCCGUCGAGCCGUUGAAACUGGCGGCCUUGAGUAGGCGAGAAGUGUGCGGAAUGCGUGGUGUAGCGGUGAAAUGCAUAGAUAUCACGCAGAACUCCGAUUGCGAAGGCAGCACGCCGGCGCCUUACUGACGCUGAAGCACGAAAGCGUGGGUAUCGAACAGGAUUAGAUACCCUGGUAGUCCACGCAGUAAACGAUGAGCGCUAAUUGUCCGUGGGGGAAUGACCCCUGGGUGAUACAGUGAAAACGUUAAGCGCUCCACCUGGGGAGUACGCCGGCAACGGUGCAACUCAAAGGAAUUGACGGA
rnacentral:rRNA from 1 species